UAGUCAUAUGCUUGUCUCAGAGAUUAAGCCAUGCAUGUCUAAGUAUAAGCGAUCUUAUACAGCGAAACUGCGAAUGGCUCAUUAAAUCAGUUAUAGUCUACUUGAUCGUAUCUUCUUACAUGGAUAACCGUAGUAAAUCUAGAGCUAAUACAUGCUAAAAAUCCCGGACGCGGCAACGCGGAAGGGACGAGUUUAUUAGAUUAAAAACCGACACCUCUCCGCGAGGGGAGGUAGCACAGGUGAUUCACAGUAACCGAUCGGAUCGUCGGCCCCGCCGACGACGAUGCAUACGAGUUUCUGCCCUAUCAACUUUAGAUGGUAGAGUAUCGGUCUACCAUGGUCGUAACGGGUGACGGGGGAUUAGGGUUCGAUUCCGGAGAGGGAGCCUGAGAAACGGCUACCACUUCCAAGGAAGGCAGCAGGCGCGCAAAUUACCCAAUCCCGACACGGGGAGGUAGUGACAAGAAAUACCAUUGUAAUGUCUCCUCGAGAGGCUUACGAUUGGAAUGAGUACAAUUUAAAUCCCUUAACGAGUAACAAUU
rnacentral:rRNA from 1 species